GUUAAGACGUGUCUGCAACCACUUUUACGUCCGGACUCUAUCCAGUGUUAUUCGGUAAAGUUUGUUGUGUUUGAAGUUUCAACGCAAGAGGACCGAAGCUCCACGGCUGGCCUGUGACACUGACUUCAAUGAGGUCUGAAUGGUGAAAGAGGAAGGGGCCAUUGUGAGGUGGUUAGAUGAAGAGGCAACAGGUGGUUACUUCAGUUUGGGUGAAUUUAAACCUGCAAGAUGUCAUCCAGAAAGUCGGGCAGUGCAGCAUCAUCUAGCCAUGAAGCCACUCUGUGGUAGGGAGGAGGAGAGGGCCAACUGAAGGCCCCACAUCUGAUUAGUGUCUAUUAAAGAUCAGAGGGGUGAGGAGGAAGUGCCCUGCUGAUCUGGGUGCUGAGUGCUGUGUUAUCUUUGGAUGAGUUUGGCUGCCCCGCUGGCACACCGCAGUACCUUAUUACUGUGUUACUGAGUAUAUUAGAGCGCCCUCGGAACAGCUUGGUUUUCCAGGCCAGAGGUGGAGGAUGAGCGAACACAAGGGCUCAUAAG